UUUUAAUGUUUUCCUUUAAUUUUUCAAUAUGAAGUGAAUGACCUUUUUUGCCUUGUGAACAUGGAGGUUACUAAGGAAGAGCUUAAUGCAAAAAUGAGAGAAAAAAGUUUCCAACUUUUGGUCUGAAAAAAACCAUGCAAAGUUUCCAACAUGUUUGUGUUUUGUUUUGUGGCAGAUGGGGCUGGUGAUGAUUUAUUUAAAGAGCUAUGGAGGCUGUGCAGGGCCAUUAAUGGAUGUUCCUUGUGUUCAAGACAGAGUUUUCUAUUUCCCUCAGGGUCACAUUGAAUUGUUGCCAGAACCUACAGAACAAGAUUUGAGGCAGAUAAAGAACCAAAAAUCUCCCAAAUACGAUCUUCCGUUGAACAAGAUAUUUAAAGAACAAGAUUUUUUUUCUCUUCUAUCAGAAGGUUAAUAACUUUUAUUAGAAGAUUCUUAUGUAGGAUACAAUAUUUUGGUUUUUUAUAGUUUAUUAGUAGUAAAUUCUAAGUGGUCUAAUGUAUAUUUGAUAUGGGUAUGUUUAAUUUAGUGUGAGAUGUAUGAAUACUCAUUUAUGAUCAUCCCAAUAUUUUUAGUUCAUUAUAAAUAUAUUUUGUUA